UACGUAGGGUGCAAGCGUUGUCCGGAAUUAUUGGGCGUAAAGAGCUUGUAGGUGGUUUGUCGCGUCUGCUGUGAAAAUCCGAGGCUCAACCUCGGGUCUGCAGUCGAUACGGGCAAACUAGAGUAUUGCAGGGGAGACUGGAAUUCCUGGUGUAGCGGUGAAAUGCGCAGAUAUCAGGAGGAACACCGGUGGCGAAGGCGGGUCUCUGGGCCGAAACUGACGCUGAGGAGCGAAAGCGUGGGGAGCGAACAGG
rnacentral:rRNA from 1 species